rnacentral:rRNA from 1 species
AUUGGGCGUAAGCGCGCGCAGGUGGUUUCUUAAGUCUGAUGUGAAAGCCCACGGCUCAACCGUGGAGGGUCAUUGGAAACUGGGAGACUUGAGUGCAGAAGAGGAAAGUGGAAUUCCAUGUGUAGCGGUGAAAUGCGUAGAGAUAUGGAGGAACACCAGUGGCGAAGGCGACUUUCUGGUCUGUAACUGACACUGAGGCGCGAAAGCGUGGGGAGCAAACAGGAUUACAUACCCUGGUAGUCCACGCCGUAAACGAUGAGUGCUAAGUGUUACAGGCUUUCCGCCCUUUAGUGCUGAACUUAACGC